rnacentral:rRNA from 1 species
UUACCAGACUCCUACGGGAGGCAGCAGUGGGGGAUAUUGCACAAUGGGGGAAACCCUGAUGCAGCGACGCCGCGUGUGGGAAGACGGUCCUCUGGAUUGUAAACCACUGUCCCCAGGGACGAAGAUGACGGUACCUGAGUAAGAAGCCCCGGCUAACUACGUGCCAGCAGCCGCGGUAAUACGUAGGGGGCAAGCGUUAUCCGGAUUUACUGGGUGUAAAGGGAGCGUAGACGGCCAGACAAGUCUGAAGUGAAAAUCCAGCGCUUAACGCUGGAAGUGCUUUGGAAACUGCCGGGCUGGAGUGCAGGAGGGGCAGGCGGAAUUCCUAGUGUAGCGGUGAAAUGCGUAGAUAUUAGGAGGAACACCAGUGGCGAAGGCGGCCUGCUGGACUGCAACUGACGUUGAGGCUCGAAGGCGUGGGGAGCAAACAGGAUUAGAUACCCUAGUAGCG